GCUCAUACGUUAUAUGAAACUUCCCCAGGAGCACUGUUAAAGUAUUUAGGAGGAGGCACUGACUCAGCCCAGGGGCAAUCCACCUCCUCAGGAGCAGCCAAGGCUGAUGAAUCAGGUCCAUCUCUAUCCUCUGCUCCAUCCACUGUGCCCACUGUCCUCUCUGCAACCUCAGCUGUACCUGGUCCAUCUCUAUCCUCUGCUCCAUCCACUGUGCCCACUGUCCUCUCUGCAACCUCAGCUGUACCUGGUCCUUCAUCUUUGGUCAUGGAGAUUGAUGUGUCUUC